rnacentral:rRNA from 1 species
GUAUCAUGGCUCAGGAUGAACGCUAGCUACAGGCUUAACACAUGCAAGUCGAGGGGCAGCAUUUUAGUUUGCUUGCAAACUGAAGAUGGCGACCGGCGCACGGGUGAGUAACACGUAUCCAACCUGCCGAUAACUCCGGGAUAGCCUUUCGAAAGAAAGAUUAAUACCGGAUAGCAUACGAAUAUCGCAUGAUAUUUUUAUUAAAGAAUUUCGGUUAUCGAUGGGGAUGCGUUCCAUUUAG